rnacentral:misc_RNA from 1 species
AGUAGCCCAAUGAUCAUUAGAUAAAUGAACAAUCAGUAUAAUAGCAUCCAGCUCUACCCAGUCCCAACUCCCAAGUAACAAUAAUCAAAGUUAAUUUCAGUAAGUUUCCGGCAUUUAAAUUUUCCCAUUACACAGAUGACCAUCCCCAAGUAGCUAAGAAUUCAUAAAGAAAUAAAGAGAAAAAAGAUGGCCAAAAUGUAUGACAGUGGUAGAGCUUGCUUUUCUU